rnacentral:tRNA from 1 species
GGGUCGUGGCUCAGUGGUAGAGCACUUGCCUAGUACAUGUGAGGUACAGGGUUUGAUCCUCAGGACCCA